GAUCCCGAGCUGCUGUGAGCCUGUAAGGAAUCAGCACCAGCAUUUGGCUCGCGGAGUUUCACGUGGCCCGGAACGCGUCACCAACGCAGCUGUGGAAUCAGCCGGCUCCGUCUCUGAGUGAGGAAAAAAAGCGGUGUGCACAGAGGGGAACAUGUGCAGCUUUGGAAUCUGACAGACUUGGACUUGAGUCCAGCCCUGCACUCUUUUGCGGAACCCUGUGGAGAGCCCUCGUGGAAGGGGCAGACGGAGGGCAGGAACGCACCCCGAGGUCUGAGCAGCAGGCUUUGGGACCUCGCAGAAGCCACCGUGUGACGCUUCAAGGAGGAGGAAGCGUUUAAUAACAUCAAAGGCUCCUAGGAAGUCAAAGGAGAACCAGGUCUUAUCCACUGGACAUCGCCCAAAGGAGGUCAUCUUCAAUGACCUCGUCCAGACACUCCUGGCGGAGCGGU